GACGGAAAAGCCAGGAUGGGGAUGGUGAAUUCUCAUAGCAUGGAGUAGUGGACAGUGGGGGUAGCGGUGUCUGGGGUUGAGAAGACCGUGGAGAGAUACACAGAAGUGUCUCCAGCUUCCAGAACAUUCUAUAUCACUAGAGGUGCUCAGGCAAUGUGUCCAUCGAAUCUGGACUUCAGCCACCCUAUGGUACCCUUUACACCAUUCAUCUACCUAAAAGAUCUGUGUGUGUUCUUGGGAAUUUGACAUCAAAAACCACUUCUAAUCCAGAGUUUAUGGUGGAGAGAGGGACCCUACAGGCAGCUCAUGGUUCCUACUCUGCUGGUUCUCUAGCAGCACCCGCGUGUCCUCCAGGUCCCAAGUGAGGUGGUGACACUUCCUCUUCAGCUGGUGAGCCAUCUUCUUGGCCUCUUCAUACGCACUCUGCAGCUCCCCAAGCUAUGGAGAGAAGAGAGUGAGAGGUUCGCUGGUGCCCCCUGUUUCCAAGCUCUGUCCGGGCCUUCAUCUCUGAGUCCAAUCUCUCCUCGCACUGUUGAAGGCGCUUGCGUAGGAAAUCGUUCUCCAUCUGAGCACAGUCCAAACGCAUCUGCCACUCGUCUGCUGUGUGACAGAGUCGGCAGCUGCCUCCAUUCAGCAGGAGAGAAUCCACAUCAUAGUGGGAACUGGACAAAGAUGUCCCGAUCCCAUCCAACCAUGAAUGCCAAGUCCCUAGGCAGUGGCAUAACCAGUGCACUGAUGCUGCCUGCCUCUCACUGGGCAGUCACUCUGAGAGUCAGCCUCAACUUGAUCAUGUAUGUGAAAGCAUGCAGAGCCCGUAUUCCUCAUGAAGAGGUAGCUGAUGGCUAUGGGUUAGUCUACUCCAUAUGGCCCAGCUCUGCUUGUUCAUCAUCUAGGACCAGCUACACUUGAAUGUGAAGAAUCUGGGGCUCAGGGUGACUUUGAAUAGCAUGGUAUGAUUCAAAUACAGAGGGGAAAUUU
ensembl:antisense 1700095B10Rik RIKEN cDNA 1700095B10 gene